GGGUCCUUGGCCUAAUUGGUUAAGGCAACGCCCUUUUAAGGCGUGAGAUGAUGGUUCGAAUCCAUCAGGACCCA
rnacentral:tRNA from 1 species